rnacentral:rRNA from 1 species
UGCGUAGGCGGCUUUGUAAGUCAGUGGUGAAAUAUGUCAGCUUAACUGAGAGGGUGCCAUUGAUACUGCAGAGCUUGAGUACAGAUGAGGUAGGCGGAAUUGACGGUGUAGCGGUGAAAUGCUUAGAUAUCGUCAAGAACACCUAUAGCGAAGGCAGCUUACUAGGCUGUAACUGACGCUGAGGCACGAAAGUGUGGGGAUCAAGCAGGAUUAGAUACCCUGGUAGUCCACACUGUAAACGUUGAUUACUCGCUGUGUGCGAUAUACAGUACGCGGCCAAGCGAAAGCGAUAAGUAAUCCACCUGGGGAGUACGCCGGCAACGGUGAA